rnacentral:rRNA from 1 species
GGAAUCAUUGGGUUUAAAGGGUCCGUAGGCGGGCCUGUAAGUCAGGGGUGAAAGUUUGUGGCUCAACCAUAAAAUUGCCUCUGAUACUGCAGGUCUUGAGUCAUGGUGCGGUUGCCGGAACAUGUGGUGUAGCGGUGAAAUGCAUAGAUAUCACAUAGAACACCGAUCGCGAAGGCAGGUGACCAACCAUGUACUGACGCUGAUGGACGAAAGCGUGGGUAGCGAACGGGAUUAGAUACCCCGGUAGUCCACGCCGUAAACGAUGGAUACUAGCUGUGGCGACUUCGGUCUCCGUGGCCAAGCGAAAGUGAUAAGUAUCCCACCUGGGGAGUACGUUCGCAAGAAUGAAACUCAAAGGAAUUGACGGGGGCCCGCACAAGCGGUGGAGCAUGUGGUUUAAUUCGAUGAUACGCGAGGAACCUUACCAGGGCUUAAAUGCAGGCUGCAUGGGGUAGAGAUACCCCUUUCUUCGGACCGCCUGCAAGGUGCUGCAUGGUUGUCGUCAGCUCGUGCCGUGAGGUGUCAGGUUAAGUCCUAUAACGAGCGCAACCCCUACCGUUAGUUGCCAGCAUGUCAAGAUGGGGACUCUAACGGGACUGCCGGUGCAAACCGUGAGGAAGGUGGGGACGACGUCAAAUCAUCACGGCCCUUACGUCCUGGGCUACACACGUGCUACAAUGGCCGGUACAGAGGGAAGCCACCCCGCAAGGGGGCGCGGAUCUACAAAACCGGUCACAGUUCGGAUCGGGG